rnacentral:rRNA from 1 species
UACGUAGGGGGCUAGCGUUGUCCGGAAUCAUUGGGCGUAAAGAGCGUGUAGGCGGCUCGGUAAGUCCGCUGUGAAAGUCCAGGGCUCAACCCUGGAAUGCCGGUGGAAACUGUCGGGCUAGAGUCCGGAAGAGGCGAGUGGAAUUCCUGGUGUAGCGGUGAAAUGCGCAGAUAUCAGGAGGAACACCAAUGGCGAAGGCAGCUCGCUGGGACGGUACUGACGCUGAGACGCGAAAGCUAGGGGAGCAAACAGG